UACGUAGGGUGCAAGCGUUGUCCGGAAUUAUUGGGCGUAAAGAGUUCGUAGGCGGUUUGUCGCGUCCGUUGUGAAAGCUUGGGGCUCAACUCCGGGCUUGCGGGCGAUACGGGCAGGCUAGAGUUCGGUAGGGGAGACUGGAAUUCCUGGUGUAGCGGUGAAAUGCGCAGAUAUCAGGAGGAACACCGGUGGCGAAGGCGGGUCUCUGGGCCGAUACUGACGCUGAGGAGCGAAAGCGUGGGGAGCGAACAGG
rnacentral:rRNA from 1 species